CCAACACUUCGAAUGCAGGUCCCAAGGGCUGAUAAUAUAGUCAGGGAUUGACCUGUAGAGGGGUCCCCUCACAGGCACUGAGAGGGACAUGCGGACAUGAACGCUCCUGAUAUGAGCUCCAGUGAUGCUGACCUGCUAUGAGCCCUCAAACUGAAGACAAUGCAUGCCUUAUUUCUUGCACAUGGAGGACUGGCCACCACCCUUAACUGAUUCACCUCUGCCCCAGGCCAUCAGUUUCCCAUCUCUGGAUGAGACAGUCCCAAAGGCCCUUCCAAAGAUGACAUUGCACUACUUUCUAAUUGUGGGUUUGCAAGCUAUUUCAAGCGAUGUGACCCUGGGAAAAGUCUUGAUCCUCUUGGCCCAGAAGCAGGGGGCUGAUCACAACGACCCCAGUUCCUCUGCUGCUGUAUUACAACCCAGCUGGAUGGAGCACUUCCCUUCCAGGGGAAGGUGGCUGAGGCAGAAGCAGGGUGUGAGAAACUACUGAUGCCAGCUGGCUCUUGUCCUCAGAAGCACUCUGAAAUUAGUUUACCUGCUUGUUUAGCCAAAGAGAAUGUAAGUUCCUAGAGCAGGGGUUAACAAAUUUUUUUUCUGAAGAGCCAGCUAGUAAACAUUUUAGGCUUUCUCAGCCAUAUGGUCUCUGUUGUAACUACUCGACUCUG